UUCCUCUCUGUAAAAAAAAAAAAAAAAAAAAGAAAUGAUACAGAGAAGAUUAGUAUAGCCCCUGUGUAAGGAUGACAUGCAAAUUUACAAAGUGUACCAUAUUUUU